rnacentral:lncRNA from 1 species
CAGCUAAAAAAGCCAAUGGGAUUCUGGUCUGCAUAAAUAGGAAUCUAGUGUCUAGAUCCAGGGAAGUCAUGCUCCCCUCAAUUCAUGCUCCCCUCGACCUGCACUACCAUGUCCAAUUCUGAGCACCGCCAAUGAAGGUAGAUGUCAACAAGCUAGAAUGUUUCCAGAAGAGGGCAACUAAAAUUACCAAAGGUCUGGAGAACAAGCCUUAUGAGGAGCAGCUGAAAGAGCUGGGCAUAUUUAACUUUGGAAGAGAAGGUUGAGAGGAGACAUGAUGAGGGCCAUGGAUCAAGAUGUGAGGAAAAGUCCUAGGGAGGAGGGAAUAAACUUGUUUUCUGCUGCCUUGGAGACUAGGACGCAGAACAAUGGCUUCAAAUGACAGGAAAGGAGAUUUCAUCUGAACAUUACGAAGAACUUCCUAACUGUGAGAGCUGUUCAGAACUCUCUCAGAAGUGUGGUGGACAGAGGCGGUUCAACCGCGAGGUGAACCAGGCACUUGCCUGUGGCGCCAUUCUGUAGGGGGUGCAGUUGAGGCCCUCCCAGGUGCGGAUGCAUGCGUGCAUGCGUGUGCAUGCACCCCCCCCGCCUCCUCUCGGCUUUGGUUCGGGUCCGCUGGCCUUCAGGGCCUGUGGCCGCCUCCGGGGCCAGGCCCACACCUAUGGCAGGCAUCCUCAGAGGUUGUGAGGUCUAUUGGAAGCUAGAAGUAUUUUCUGAAGGAGAGGAAGCGAAGGAGAAAAAGAAACUAAAAGAGUGAGCGCACCCCACCCACCGACCCUCAGGCCCCAACUCCCAGAAAUCCCAGCCAUAUUACCAACUGUUAAGAACUGUGGGAGCUGAAGUCCAAAACACCUGGAGGCCCAAGGUUGGAAACCACUGCACUAAAUUUAAAAAAUCAGGAAAAUAAAUGAAAAUCAAAAAGAUUCAACUGUGAUGCAGAAUAGGGGUGAAGGAGCCAAGAUCAGUUCCCACUUGCUUUUGUAUCAGACACCUUUCGUAUUGAUUUGGAUUUGUAAUUUUAUGUCUAUUUUUAAUAGAAUUGUUUUGAUUCUGUCUUAUGAUGUUGUUUAUUAUAUUUAUGUUUAACUUCGUUGUAUGGUGUUU